rnacentral:tRNA from 1 species
GGCCCCUUGGCCUAAUGGUAAGGCGUUGCUUUCCGGUUCCAGCACCCUGCUGGCAAAGAUUCUGGGUUCGAGUCCCAGGGGGGUCG